ensembl:lncRNA
GAUUGUGACAGGUCAAUCAAGCCCCGAUGCCAAUGACGUUGAUCGUACAGUGGUAACACCGUAUCGCUUGGGUUAUUCGCAUUAUAGUUACUUCUACAUUUAAUGGAAUAUAAUGCUUAAUGUGAAUAAAGACGUCGCCAAGUCUUAUUUUCCGGCUUAGCCAGUGUAGGUUAGCUUUGAAUUCCACAGCCUUGCGGUUGUCGUUUAUUUUGACAGCAGCAUUUCAGGGGACAGAUGCCCACCCUCGGCCCCUUAUUUUUCUUUCCAUCAAAAGAAUAUUCAUCCAUCGCAGAAGGGAUUCCUGGAGUGAUUUCAGCGAAGCACCAUGUCCUUUAUCGGUGUGACAUCAACCCCACCAAAGGUUAUAACGCAGAGCUGGCCCAGGUGACUUAUUCGUAGGGCCCAGGGGACUAUUCUUUUGCCAAGGCCACUAUAUUAGCAUGGCCAUCCCCAGAUCACUAUAUUAGUAUGGCCCAGAUCACUAUUGGUAUAGCCCACGUCACUAUAUUGGUAUGGCCCAGGUCACUAUAUUGGUAUGGCCCAGGUCACUAUACUGGUAUGGCCCAGGUCACUAUAUUGCCAAGGUCACUAUACUGGUAUGGCCCAGGUCACUAUACUGGUAUAUGGUCCAACCGAGCCUCAGUCCAGAGUCCCGGGUUCACUAUAAGGACUAACUCUCCCAGCCUCUCUGGGUUGCUCUCUAGGUUACUCUCUCUUACUGCCACAGAGGGAGAAGGAGCCGGCUGGAUCCAGAGUUCAAGCUCAUUAUCCUGGCCCUCAAUCAGACCUCCAGCCAGCUCUUAAUUGAGCCAUCAGCGCCU